UACGGGGGGGGCAAGCGUUGUUCGGAAUUACUGGGCGUAAAGGGCUCGUAGGUGGCCAACUAAGUCAGACGUGAAAUCCUCCGGCUUAACCGGAGAAGUGCUUUUGAUACUGGCGAGCUUGAGGGAGGUAGGGGCAGGCGGAACUUCCGGUGGAGCGGUGAAAUGCGUAGAUAUCGGAAGGAACGCCGGUGGCGAAAGCGGCCUGCUGGACCUCUUCUGACGCUGAUGCGCGAAAGCCAGGGGAGCGAACGGG
rnacentral:rRNA from 1 species